UACGUAGGUGGCGAGCGUUGUCCGGAAUCAUUGGGCGUAAAGGGUACGUAGGCGGAUAAGCAAGUUAGAAGUGAAAUCCUAUAGCUAAACUAUAGUAAGCUUUUAAAACUGCUCAUCUUGAGGUAUGGAAGGGAAGGUGGAAUUCCUAGUGUAGCGGUGAAAUGCGCAGAUAUUAGGAGGAAUUCCGGUGGCGAAGGCGACUUCCUGGCCAUAAACUGACGCUAAGGUACGAAAGCGUGGGUAGCAAACAGG
rnacentral:rRNA from 1 species